GUAACAUCAUAGACCAUAACCUUUGCUUCUAAAAGGGUUAGGACGCAAACCUUAGAAUUAGGGAUUGAUUGAGUUUUAAUAUUUUAAAGGUCUUAGGUCAUAUAGUGUUCAAUCACACUCAAAAAAGUGCUUAUAAUAUGAAAAUUGUGAGACAGUGAUUAGGCAAACUAACUUGUUCUUUCAGUGAAUUAAAUCUAGGACUCAACUUGCUCCAGUUCCACUGACAUUUCUGGUAGCCCAAAUCUAAGCCCAUUUUUUCACAAUAGAUAACCAACAGUUAUUUUUGCCAAGUCAAAAUUUUCAUUAUUAGCCCAUUUUAAACACAUCACCCUCUUUUGUAUU
rnacentral:misc_RNA from 1 species